rnacentral:rRNA from 1 species
ACUCCUACGGGAGGCUGCAGUGGGGAAUAUUGCACAAUGGGCGCAAGCCUGAUGCAGCAACGCCGCGUGAGGGACGAAGGCCUUCGGGUUGUAAACCUCUUUUAGUAGGGAAGAAGCGAAAGUGACGGUACCUGCAGAAAAAGCACCGGCUAACUACGUGCCAGCAGUCGCGGUAAUACGUAGGGUGCAAGCGUUAUCCGGAAUUAUUGGGCGUAAAGAGCUCGUAGGCGGUUUGUCGCGUCUGCUGUGAAAACUGGAGGCUCAACCUCCAGCCUGCAGUGGGUACGGGCAGACUAGAGUGCGGUA